rnacentral:rRNA from 1 species
CCGCGGUAAAACCGGUUACUCCUACGGGAGGCAGCAGUGAGGAAUUUUCCGCAAUGGGCGCAAGCCUGACGGAGCGACGCCGCGUGCACGAGGAAGGUCUUCGGAUCGUAAAGUGCUGUCGAGGGGGACGCGGUACCCCUGGAGGAAGCCCCGGCUAACUAC